GUUUUGGUGAUUUUUUGAAUUGGAUGGAAUUAAGAAUGAAAUAAAUUGAAUUAGAGAAAGAAUUCAUAAGACGAGUAAUGAUCAUUGUUGUUAAACGAAUUUUUGAUUAUAUACAUAUAUUCUUCUAUGACAAUUCUAAAACACCUC